ACGACUCACGGCAGGUCGAUGCGAUGCGUAACGUACAGGUAAAGGUGUGCAGGUGUGUAAGUAUGCAGGUGUGUAAGUAUGCAGGUGUGUAAGUAUGCAGGUGUGUAAGUAUGCAGGUGUGUAAGUAUGCAGGUGUGUAAGUAUGCAGGUGUGUAAGUAUGCAGGUGUGUAAGUAUGCAGGUGUGUAAGUAUGCAGGUGUGUAAGUAUGCAGGUGUGUAAGUAUGCAGGUGUGUAAGUAUGCAGGUGUGUAAGUAUGCAGGUGUGUAAGUAUGCAGGUGUGUAAGUAUGCAGGUGUGUAAGUAUGCAGGUGUGUAAGUAUGCAGGUGUGUAAGUAUGCAGGUGUGUAAGUAUGCAGGUGUGUAAGUAUGCAGGUGUGUAGGUGUGUUUGUGUAUAGUUGGAGGCGUAUAGGAGUGAUUGGUGAUACACUGAUAGAUAGAUAGAUAGAUAUAGAUAGAUAGAUAUAGAUAGACAUGUAGAUAGAUAG